rnacentral:rRNA from 1 species
GUUGUAUAGUCAAGUAAUUAAGUGCAUGUGGUGGAUGCCUUGGCAGUCAGAGGCGAUGAAAGACGUGAUAGCCUGCGAAAAGCUCCGGGGAGGCGGCAAAUAUCCUUUGAUCCGGAGAUGUCUGAAUGGGGGAACCCACCUACUUUAAGGUAGGUAUUGCAACAUGAAUACAUAGUGUUGCAAGGCGAACGAGGGGAAGUGAAACAUCUCAGUACCCUUAGGAAAAGAAAUCAAUUGAGAUUCCCUCAGUAGCGGCGAGCGAACGGGGAUCAGCCCAUUAAGUUAUGUGUGUUUUAGUGGAACGCUCUGGGAAGUGCGAACGUAGAGGGUGAUAUUCCCGUACACGAAAGGGCACACAUAAUGAUGACGAGUAGGGCGAGGCACGUGAAACCUUGUCUGAAUAUGGGGGGACCAUCCUCCAAGGCUAAAUACUCCUGACUGACCGAUAGUGAACCAGUACCGUGAGGGAAAGGCGAAAAGAACCCCUGUGAGGGGAGUGAAAUAGAUCCUGAAACCGCAUGCAUACAAGCAGUGGGAGCACCUUCGUGGUGUGACUGCGUACCUUUUGUAUAAUGGGUCAGCGACUUAUAUUCAGUAGCAAGGUUAACCGUAUAGGGGAGCCGUAGAGAAAUCGAGUCUUAAUAGGGCGUUUAGUUGCUGGGUAUAGACCCGAAACCAGGCGAUCUAUCCAUGAGCAGGUUGAAGGUUGGGUAACACUAACUGGAGGACCGAACCCACUGUCGUUGAAAAGCCAGGGGAUGACUUGUGGAUAGGGGUGAAAGGCUAAUCAAGCCUGGUGAUAGCUGGUUCUCCCCGAAAGCUAUUUAGGUAGCGCCUCGGACGAAUACCAUAGGGGGUAGAGCACUGUUUCGGCUAGGGGGUCAUCCCGACUUACCAAACCGAUGCAAACUCCGAAUACCUAUGAGUACUAUCCGGGAGACAGACUGCGGGUGCUAACGUCCGUAGUCAAGAGGAAAACAAUCCAGACCGCCAGCUAAGGCCCCAAAAUCAUAGUUAAGUGGGAAACGAUGUGGGAAGGCAUAGACAGCUAGGAGGUUGGCUUANNNNNNNNNNNGAAGCAGCCACCCUUUAAAGAAAGCGUAAUAGCUCACUAGUCGAGUCGGCCUGCGCGGAAGAUGUAACGGGGCUAAAACUAUGUGCCGAAGCUGCGGAUUUGACAUUAGUCAAGUGGUAGGGGAGCGUUCUGUAAGCCGAUGAAGGUGUAUUGAGAAGUNAUGCUGGAGGUAUCAGAAGUGCGAAUGCUGACGUGAGUAACGACAAAACGGGUGAAAAACCCGUUCGCCGAAAGACCAAGGGUUCCAGUCCAACGUUAAUCGGGGCUGGGUGAGUCGACCCCUAAGGCGAGGCCGAAAGGCGUAGUCGAUGGGAAAAUGGUUAAUAUUCCAUUACUUCUGUGUAAUGCGAUGAGAGGACGGAGAAGGCUAAAUCAGCCUGGCGUUGGUUGUCCAGGUGAAAGGAUGUAGGCAUGUAUCUUAGGCAAAUCCGGGGUACUCUAUGCUGAGAUCUGAUAGCAAGCUGUACUUGUACAGCGAAGUGGUUGAUGCCAUGCUUCCAGGAAAAGUCUCUAAGCUUCAGUUACACAGGAAUCGUACCCGAAACCGACACAGGUGGUCAGGUCGAGUAGACCAAGGCGCUUGAGAGAACUCUGCUGAAGGAACUAGGCAAAAUGGUACCGUAACUUCGGGAGAAGGUACGCUGUUGUUGGUGAUGGAACUCGCUUCCUGAGCUGACGACAGCCGCAGAAACCAGGCCGCUGCAACUGUUUAUUAAAAACAUAGCACUCUGCAAACACGAAAGUGGACGUAUAGGGUGUGAUGCCUGCCCGGUGCUGGAAGGUUAAUUGAUGGGGUUAGCGUAAGCGAAGCUCUUGAUCGAAGCCCCAGUAAACGGCGGCCGUAACUAUAACGGUCCUAAGGUAGCGAAAUUCCUUGUCGGGUAAGUUCCGACCUGCACGAAUGGCAUAAUGAUGGCGGCGCUGUCUCCAGCAGAGGCUCAGUGAAAUCGAAAUCGCUGUGAAGAUGCAGUGUACCCGCGGCUAGACGGAAAGACCCCGUGAACCUUUACUGCAGCUUGACACUGAACUUUGACCUUACUUGUGUAGGAUAGGUGGGAGGCUUUGAAGCUGGAACGCUAGUUCCAGUGGAGCCGUCCUUGAAAUACCACCCUGGUAAUGUUGAGGUUCUAACUCUGUCCCGUGAUCCGGGACGAGGACCGUGUCUGGUGGGUAGUUUGACUGGGGCGGUCUCCUCCUAAAGAGUAACGGAGGAGUACGAAGGUGCGCUCAGCGUGGUCGGAAAUCACGCGUAGAGUAUAAAGGCAAAAGCGCGCUUAACUGCGAGACCCACAAGUCGAGCAGGUACGAAAGUAGGUCUUAGUGAUCCGGUGGUUCUGUAUGGAAGGGCCAUCGCUCAACGGAUAAAAGGUACUCUGGGGAUAACAGGCUGAUACCGCCCAAGAGUUCAUAUCGACGGCGGUGUUUGGCACCUCGAUGUCGGCUCAUCUCAUCCUGGGGCUGAAGCAGGUCCCAAGGGUAUGGCUGUUCGCCAUUUAAAGAGGUACGCGAGCUGGGUUUAGAACGUCGUGAGACAGUUCGGUCCCUAUCUACCGUGGGCGCUGGAAAUUUGAGAGGAUCUGCUCCUAGUACGAGAGGACCAGAGUGGACGAACCUCUGGUGUACCGGUUGUGACGCCAGUCGCAUCGCCGGGUAGCUAUGUUCGGAAGGGAUAACCGCUGAAAGCAUCUAAGCGGGAAGCCUACCUCAAGAUAAGAUUUCCCUAGGACUUUAUGUCCUCUAAAGAGCCGUUCGAGACUAGGACGUUGAUAGGUUGGAUGUGGAAGCAUAGUGAUAUGUGAAGCUGACCAAUACUAAUUGCUCGUGAGGCUUGACUAUACAACACCCAAGCAGUUG